rnacentral:rRNA from 1 species
GUGGGGAAUCUUGCGCAAUGGGCGAAAGCCUGACGCAGCAACGCCGCGUGGGGGAUGAAGGCUCUCGGGUUGUAAACCCCUUUCAGCAGGGACGAAUCAAGACGGUACCUGCAGAAGAAGCCCCGGCUAACUACGUGCCAGCAGCCGCGGUAACAUGUAGGGGGCAAGCGUUGUCCGGAGUUAUUGGGCGUAAAGAGCUCGUAGGUGGCUGAGUAAGUCGGAUGGCAAAUCACCAGGCUCGACCUGGGAUCCCAUCCGAUACGGCUCUGGCUAGAGUCCGGUAGGGGAGCGUGGAAUUCCUGGGGUAGCGGUGAAAUGCGCAGAUUGCAGGAGGAACACCAGCGGCGAAGGCGGCGCUCUGGGCCGGUACUGACACUGAGGAGCGAAAGCGUGGGUAGCAAACAGGAUUAGAUACCCGAGUAGUCC